CAGAUUGAACGCUGGCGGCAUGCUUUACACAUGCAAGUCGAACGGUAACAGGCCGCAAGGUGCUGACGAGUGGCGAACGGGUGAGUAAUGCAUCGGAACGUGCCCAGUCGUGGGGGAUAACGCAGCGAAAGCUGUGCUAAUACCGCAUACGAUCUAUGGAUGAAAGCGGGGGGCCGAAAGGCCUCGCGCGAUUGGAGCGGCCGAUGUCAGAUUAGCUAGUUGGUGGGGUAAAGGCCACCAAGGCGACGAUCUGUAGCUGGUCUGAGAGGACGACCAGCCACACUGGAACUGAGACACGGUCCAGACUCCUACGGGAGGCAGCAGUGGGGGAAUUUUGGACAAUGGGCGCAAGCCUGAUCCAGCAAUGCCGCGUGCAGGAAGAAGGCCUUC
rnacentral:rRNA from 1 species